rnacentral:rRNA from 1 species
GACGCAGUAGGAUAGGCGAAGCGUGCUGUUGGAGUGCACGUCCAAGCAGUGAGAUUGAGUGUUAGGCAAAUCCGGCACUCUUAAGAUUGAGCUGUGAUGGGGAGAGGAACUUGUUCCUCGAGUCGUUGAUUUCACACUGCCGAGAAAAGCCUCUAGCUAGAAUAACGGUGCCCGUACCGCAAACCGACACAGGUAGUCAAGAUGAGAAUUCUAAGGUGAGCGAGCGAACUCUCGUUAAGGAACUCGGCAAAAUGACCCCGUAACUUCGGGAGAAGGGGUGCUCUUUGAGGUUCACGCUUCGAAGAGCCGCAGUGAAUAGGCCCAAGCGACUGUUUAUCAAAAACACAGGUCUCUGCUAAACCGUAAGGUGACGUAUAGGGGCUGACGCCUGCCCGGUGCUGGAAGGUUAAGAGGAGUGGUUAGCGCAAGCGAAGCUACGAAUCGAAGCCCCAGUAAACGGCGGCCGUAACUAUAACGGUCCUAAGGUAGCGAAAUUCCUUGUCGGGUAAGUUCCGACCCGCACGAAAGGCGUAACGAUUUGGGCACUGUCUCAACGAGAGACUCGGUGAAAUCAUAGUACCGGUGAAGAUGCCGGUUACCCGCGACAGGACGGAAAGACCCCGUGGAGCUUUACUGUAGCCUGAUAUUGAAAUUCGGUACAGUUUGUACAGGAUAGGUAGGAGCCUUAGAAGCGUGAGCGCUAGCUUACGUGGAGGCAUUGGUGGGAUACUACCCUAAUUGUAUUGGAUUUCUAACCCGCAGCACUUAUCGUGCUGGGAGACAGUGUCAGGCGGGCAGUUUGACUGGGGCGGUCGCCUCCUAAAGAGUAACGGAGGCGCUCAAAGGUUCCCUCAGAAUGGUUGGAAAUCAUUCAUAGAGUGUAAAGGCAUAAGGGAGCUUGACUGCGAGACCUACAAGUCGAGCAGGGUCGAAAGACGGACUUAGUGAUCCGGUGGUUCCGCAUGGAAGGGCCAUCGCUCAACGGAUAAAAGCUACCCCGGGGAUAACAGGCUUAUCUCCCCCAAGAGUUCACAUCGACGGGGAGGUUUGGCACCUCGAUGUCGGCUCAUCGCAUCCUGGGGCUGUAGUCGGUCCCAAGGGUUGGGCUGUUCGCCCAUUAAAGCGGUACGCGAGCUGGGUUCAGAACGUCGUGAGACAGUUCGGUCCCUAUCCGUCGUGGGCGUAGGAAAUUUGAGAGGAGCUGUCCUUAGUACGAGAGGACCGGGAUGGACAUACCUCUGGUGUACCAGUUGUCGUGCCAACGGCAUAGCUGGGUAGCUAUGUAUGGACGGGAUAAGUG